AUGAACUUCAAAGGAUUUACAUCGCAUUGAUUUCUAAUAAAGGUUUAUCUCUAUCAGGUUGCCCAGAGCCGGAUAUUCCUGCGAACGGGCGCGCGAGCACAACAAACGGCCUGGGGGUGGGACAAGCAAUUUACUACUCGUGCAUACAAGGAAUGGAACUUGUUGGGCAAACCAAGCGGAUCUGUGAGGCCGCUAGCACGUGGAGCGGCACGGAACCCACGUGCCUCAUACCCGUGUUUCCGGACAUACUCCUGGCUUUCGGCUCCAUUCUGAUUCUACUGGUCAUCGUGGACGUGUUCGUAGUGGGCGUCUGUGUCUACUACAGAUAAUGCAGAAAUAAGCCCUAGACACCGCCGCAAAUGCCGUCGCAAUGAACGCUACCUUUCCCGGAAGCUUUCUAUGAGGACGGAGAGACAGGAUUUCCGCUGAUAGAUAUCACCUUGGCGCCGGUAAGUGGCAUGGCACGUGUUUUAAAGGAUACUAGAUAUAAACUAGCAUCGUGUUAUAUCGUUCCGUUAUUCUUGAUAUAAUGGGCGUGUGGUUUUUUGUGGCCACAUGUCGGAAUUAUUCGGCCUAUAACACUUGAAGAUACUUUAAGUUAAUACAUU